rnacentral:rRNA from 1 species
GAUGAACGCUAGCGGCAGGCCUAAUACAUGCAAGUCGAACGGUGUAGCAAUACACAGUGGCGCACGGGUGCGUAACACGUAUGCAACCUACCUAUCAUUGGGGGAUAGCCUUUGGAAACGGAGAUUAAUACCGCAUAAGACAGUAACAUGGCAUCAUGUAGCUGUUAAAGCUUUUGCGAUGAUAGAUGGGAAUGCGUCCAAUUAGUUAGUUGGUGAGGUAACGGCUCACCAAGACGAUGAUUGGUAUGGGAUCUGAGAGGAUAAUCCCCCACACUGGCACUGAGAUACGGGCCAGACUCCUACGGGAGGCAGCAGUAGGGAAUAUUGGGCAAUGGGCGGAAGCCUGACCCAGCCAUGCCGCGUGCAGGAUGAAGGCGUUAUGCGUUGUAAACUGCUUUUUUAUAGGAAGAAGGAGACCUUGCGAGGUUUGGUGACGGUACUAUAAGAAUAAGCACCGGCUAACUCUGUGCCAGCCGCCGCAGUAAUAC